AUCGUGCAAAAUGUUGGAAAAAUACCCGAGUACGGAACCCUCAGUGCGCAAGUCCGACUCGCAUUUGGCCGGUUUUUGUUAUAGUGGCAAUAGAAAUGUACACAUUCUGCCCGGAUACAGCCCGGUGACACACAGACGGACGGGCGGACAACGGAGGCUUAGUAAUAGAGUCCCCUUGGCACCCUUCGGGCACGGAACUCAAAAAGCACUAAAAAUUCACUAUCAGCGUUCGUAGAGAGAUUCUAGAGCUAUGAUGUCCCGUAAAAUUGGCUCAACCUGACUGAUGUAUGAGAAAACAACAUGUCUUUUUAGUACAUUAGCGCUGGAAUUGUUUUUACUGGGUUUGACAAUAACGUCGGUUCUUUAUCAUAAUGAGUAAUGCCCCGCUACUCUCACAGUAAUGAAACAAACCAUAAGUUAAAAAGAUUAUGUGAACAUAUUUCUAAGCUUCGGUCUUUGUAAUAAUUAGGUGGGCGCGUUUUUUUAACUCUCGAUGUAUAAGAAUUGCUUCUCUAAAAUCUAACUCAAUAUGUAUACAGUACCUAAUUUAAUAUUAAAGUAGGUAUAUACCUACAAUGUGUAUAUACAAUGUAUGUAAAUAUCAACUCUGGAUUAUGAACUUCGGAAGAAUUUCAUUUCUUUUUUUACAUGACAUAAACGCGAAAUCAUUAGGUACUACUAAUAAAUGUUUGCAGAAAAGGUCAAGGAAAGCAAGACUUGCCUCCAUCCUCAUUUUAAUAUUAUGUAGAACAGCGACAGCCAUAGUUGUGGCGCUUUAGCCUGAAAUUGUGGUGCUAUAAAAACUAUCAAUUUUAGCUAAUUAGCACAAGAUUGUCAGUCAAUCGUAAGUAGGGUUGGCACUUAUUUAAACAAAUGUUUAGAUUUUUACUAAAAAAAAAUCAAUUUCAAUAAGACUGUUUCAGUCUGAACUCUGCAUAUAAUAAAUAUGAUGUCACAGGAGGCAUUUUUUUUAUAGUUCCUGAGUCAACAAAAGCUAGAAUAAAUCCCUUUGUCAGCGCUCGUAGACCCAUUGAUGUAGAUCACGCGUUAUAUCCCGGCACCAUCAUGAUUUUAUAUAAAAUGGCACAGUAUAAUAGGCCGUUAUAAAUAAAUAAGCAAAGUAAAGAAAAAAUCGGGCAUAAAAAAUAAAUCGACGACCUUGCGAAGCAAACAUUUGCAUACGAGCAACAGCUCUGAUUAAUUUUACGAGUUCAAAAGAACUUAAAUUGACCAAUAUCACUGAUUGGAAACAUUCAAGAUCAAAACCUUACAUCCAUUAUCUAACACUUACAUGCCUAUCACACUUAACACAAUUUUACUGAUAUAGAUAUCUCGUCAACUGAAAAGUGUAUACAUGCAUUUUAACAUGGCAAGAGUAAUAAUGUUUUGUGCUCGUUCUAUACAAUAAUACAUUAAUUAGAAUGUUCAGAUCAUUGAAGAAAUAUCGAUUAAUUACUUAAUAACAGUCAGCAGUUUAUAUAAUAUUAAUCGUACACAUGCUCCAUUAAUAAUAAACCUUAACACCGACAAAAAUCCAUUAGUUCAACUCGGUAGUCAAAAUAAUUCUAUCUAUUUACAAUUAAUAGGUACACAUAAUAUUAGGUAAACAGGAUAAUUAUAGUAAACAAACCUACUGCCACAAGGGUUGCCAAUUCUCAAGAAUUCUGGCAUUUUCAUAGUCAACUCAAAUAGUAGUUUAAAUCCGAAGACCGUGCAGACUACAGAUACAUAGACAGCUUACACGAAAGAGCAAUAAUGUACUAAGUUACCUUCAGUUCAAUGUCACAACUCAAUUAUUUAUAGGCCCACUGGACUAACUUGCGAGUUUAACUAUUUAAUUAAAAUUAAAUAAUUAAAAUAAUUAAUCAUAUUAAAUAUAAUGCUGUCACUUCUUGUAAUAAUUAUUACGUAGAAAUAAACGUAAAGUAGACAUCAUAAUAUUUAAUUUGAUUAGCUGAAAGGUCAUCCAUAUUUUCAAUGCUGUGGUAAAGAUGCCACACAUACAACAAUAAAUGUUCGCAAGCUUAUUUGUUCACAAGAUUGCCUUGCACAUGUUUCAUACAUCACUUACAGCCUACUCUUUUGAAUAAACCCGAAAUUCAUAUUCUUCAUGUCUACAAGAUUAUAGUAUAUGUAUGUAUGACUCUUUUUAAGUAAAACAGUUAUGCAGUACUAUAAGACAAUAAAUUACGAGUAUGUAUUUAGAAACACAAAUUCAUUUAUUUUUAUCUAAAUCAGAUAUCAAACUAUUUACAUUAUUUUUGUAUACUUAAUUUUAAUUUACCCUGCUAACAGCACAACUUGCCUCCCAACGAAACAAGUAUUGUCAAUUGAAUUGGCCUGUAUCCUUAUAUCAAAUUACAUCACCCUGCCUUUAUAAAUUCGCCCAUUAAGUUCACUUUAUCUACCAUCAAUUUUUAUCAAAGGUUUUUGAAAAUGAUACGAAAAAACACUAUUAGAUAAAUAAAUUCUUUGAUUUGAUUAAAAAUAACUACCCACAUAAAAAUUAAAUGAUUGCUCAUAAAUAAAGAAUUUGAAAACUAUCACAAAAUUAUAUUUUUGGGUUUUAUACUCAUAAUUUCAAUAGAAAAAAUAUUGGACUUACCUAGUUACUUUUUCUUUAUGAUCUUAAACUUUUGGCAACCCUAUUUUCGUCCUUUCUUCGUCCUUUAUAUCUAAGGAAUAAAUGAAUUGAAACUGGGCAUUAUAAAGCUGUGAUAGCCUAGUGGUUAGGACGUCCACACUUUAAUUCGAUCGGGAUUCCAUCUCGGGCACGCACUUCUAACUUUUCGGAGUUAUGUGCGUUUUAAGUAACUAAAUAUCACUUGCUUUAACGGUGAAGGAAAACAUCGAGUGGAAACCUGCAUACUUGAGAGUUCUUCAUAAUCUUCUCAAAGAUGUACGAAGUCUACCAUUUCGCACUUGGCCAGCGUGGUAGAC